AAGUCGUAACAAGGUAACCGUAGGUGAACCUGCGGUUGGAUCAUUACAGAAUGAUUUCGGCUUCGGCCGUGUGCUUCUGAUGUGCAAUUCAAUUUGCCUCACUAGCAUAUCUACCCAACCUUUUGUGAACUGUUGUGUCUCUGGCAGUGGGGCUGCAUUGCCUUCUCAUUCUGGGAAGGCCAUUGCAGUCUGUCAACGUGGUACUGCUCAGUCAGUCUGCGCCGUGGACAAGCUGCCAACCACUUGAAACUUUUUAUCAUAUAUUUUCUUGUCUUACACUUUAAGUAUUUAAUUAUACAAACAACUUUUGGCAACGGAUCUCUUGGCUCUC
rnacentral:misc_RNA from 1 species